UGAGGAAUAUUGGUCAAUGGGCGCAGGCCUGAACCAGCCAAGUAGCGUGAAGGAUGACUGCCCUAUGGGUUGUAAACUUCUUUUAUAUGGGAAUAAAGUUUUCCACGUGUGGAAUUUUGUAUGUACCAUAUGAAUAAGGAUCGGCUAACUCCGUGCCAGCAGCCGCGGUAAUACGGAGGAUCCGAGCGUUAUCCGGAUUUAUUGGGUUUAAAGGGAGCGUAGGUGGACAGUUAAGUCAGUUGUGAAAGUUUGCGGCUCAACCGUAAAAUUGCAGUUGAUACUGGCUGUCUUGAGUACAGUAGAGGUGGGCGGAAUUCGUGGUGUAGCGGUGAAGUGCUUAGAUAUCACGAAGAACUCCGAUUGCGAAGGCAGCUCACUGGACUGCAACUGACACUGAUGCUCGAAAGUGUGGGUAUCAAACAGGAUUAGAUACCCUGGUAGUCCACACAGUAAACGAUGAAUACUCGCUGUUUGCGAUAUACAGUAAGCGGCCAAGCGAAAGCAUUAAGUAUUCCACCUGGGGAGUACGCCGGCAACGGUGAAACUCAAAGGAAUUGACGGGGGCCCGCACAAGCGGAGGAACAUGUGGUUUAAUUCGAUGAUACGCGAGGAACCUUACCCGGGCUUAAAUUGCAUUUGAAUAUAUUGGAAACAGUAUAGUCGUAAGACAAAUGUGAAGGUGCUGCAUGGUUGUCGUCAGCUCGUGCCGUGAGGUGUCGGCUUAAGUGCCAUAACGAGCGCAACCCUUAUCUUUAGUUACUAACAGGUCAUGCUGAGGACUCUAGAGAGACUGCCGUCGUAAGAUGUGAGGAAGGUGGGGAUGACGUCAAAUCAGCACGGCCCUUACGUCCGGGGCUACACACGUGUUACAAUGGGGGGUACAGAAGGCAGCUACCUGGUGACAGGAUGCUAAUCCCAAAAGCCUCUCUCAGUUCGGAUCGAAGUCUGCAACCCGACUUCGUGAAGCUGGAUUCGCUAGUAAUCGCGCAUCAGCCAUGGCGCGGUGAAUACGUUCCC
rnacentral:rRNA from 1 species